CACCCAAAGUGGGCUCCUGGAUCUUUAAGGUGGAGAAGGGACCUCUGCUUCAAAUGUUUCAACGCUUUCCCUAUCAUCUCCAUCCCAGAGGCUAGCAAAGAUUAGAAGGC